rnacentral:rRNA from 1 species
CUACGGAGGGUGCGAGCGUUACUCGGAGUCACUGGGCGUAAAGCGUCCGUAGGCGGUCGGGUAAGUCGGGUGUGAAAGCCCCGGGCUCAACCUGGGAAGUGCACCCGAUACUGCUCGACUCGAGUGCGGGAGAGGAUGGCGGAAUUCCCGGUGUAGCGGUGAAAUGCGUAGAGAUCGGGAGGAACACCAGUGGCGAAGGCGGCCGUCUGGCCCGCAACUAACGCUGAGGGACGAAAGCGUGGGGAGCAAACAGGAUUAGAAACCCUAGUAGUCC